UACGGGGGGGAGCAAGCGUUGUUCGGAUUUACUGGGCGUAAAGGGCGCGUAGGCGGCGCAACAAGUCACUUGUGAAAUCUCCGGGCUUAACUCGGAAAGGUCAAGUGAUACUGUUGUGCUAGAGUGCGGAAGGGGCAACUGGGAAUUCUCGGUAGUAGCGGUGAAUGCGUAGAUAAUCGAGAGGAACACCUGCGGCGAAGGCGGGGUUGCUGGGCCGGAAGCACUGACGCUGGACUGCGCGAAAGCCCAGGGGA
rnacentral:rRNA from 1 species